GGCUAAAUACUCCUGACUGACCGAUAGUGAACCAGUACCGUGAGGGAAAGGCGAAAAGAACCCCGGCGAGGGGAGUGAAAAAGAACCUGAAACCGUGUACGUACAAGCAGUGGGAGCACAGGUUUACCUGUGUGACUGCGUACCUUUUGUAUAAUGGGUCAGCGACUUAUAUUCUGUAGCAAGGUUAACCGUAUAGGGGAGCCGGAGGGAAACCGAGUCUUAAUUGGGCGUUAAGUUGCAGGGUAUAGACCCGAAACCCGGUGAUCUAGCCAUGGGCAGGUUGAAGGUUGGGUAACACUAACUGGAGGACCGAACCGACUAAUGUUGAAAAAUUAGCGGAUGACCUGUGGCUGGGGGUGAAAGGCCAAUCAAACCGGGAGAUAGCUGGUUCUCCCCGAAAGCUAUUUAGGUAGCGCCUCGUGAAUUCAUCUCCGGGGGUAGAGCACUGUUUCGGCUAGGGGGCCAUCCCGGCUUACCAACCCGAUGCAAACUGCGAAUACCGGAGAAUGUUAUCACGGGAGACACACGGCGGGUGCUAACGUCCGUCGUGAAGAGGGAAACAACCCAGACCGCCAGCUAAGGUCCCAAAGUCAUGGUUAAGUGGGAAACGAUGUGGGAAGGCCCAGACAGCCAGGAUGUUGGCUUAGAAGCAGCCAUCAUUUAAAGAAAGCGUAAUAGCUCACUGGUCGAGUCGGCCUGCGCGGAAGAUGUAACGGGGCUAAACCAUGCACCGAAGCUGCGGCAGCGACACUGUGUGUUGUUGGGUAGGGGAGCGUUCUGUAAGCCUGUGAAGGUGGCCUGUGAGGGUUGCUGGAGGUAUCAGAAGUGCGAAUGCUGACAUAAGUAACGAUAAAGCGGGUGAAAAGCCCGCUCGCCGGAAGACCAAGGGUUCCUGUCCAACGUUAAUCGGGGCAGGGUGAGUCGACCCCUAAGGCGAGGCCGAAAGGCGUAGUCGAUGGGAAACGGGUUAAUAUUCCCGUACUUGGUGUUACUGCGAAGGGGGGACGGAGAAGGCUAUGUUGGCCGGGCGACGGUUGUCCCGGUUUAAGCGUGUAGGCUGGUUUUCCAGGCAAAUCCGGAAAAUCAAGGCUGAGGCGUGACGACGAGGCACUACGGUGCUGAAGCAACAAAUGCCCUGCUUCCAGGAAAAGCCUCUAAGCAUCAGGUAACAUCAAAUCGUACCCCAAACCGACACAGGUGGUCAGGUAGAGAAUACCAAGGCGCUUGAGAGAACUCGGGUGAAGGAACUAGGCAAAAUGGUGCCGUAACUUCGGGAGAAGGCACGCUGACAC
rnacentral:rRNA from 1 species